UGACGUGGACGCUUGCCUUAGAGAUUAAGCCAUGCAAACUAUAUGCGAAGCGAAUGCGGAGCGGUAAACGGCUCAGUAGGACAGGGAGAUCUAACCACAGCAGAGGAUAACCGUGGAAACCUACGGCUAAUACUAAAGUGGGUGAAACCUUGGCCCAUCAGCCAGUCGGUACGAUAAGUGCGUACCGAGGCGUUUACGGGUAACGGAAAAUUGGGGUUUGAUUCCGGAGAGGGAGCCUGAGAAAUAGCUACUACGUCUAUGGACGGCAGCAGGUGCGAAAAUUACCCACUUGGAAUUCAGAGGUAGUUAAGAGGCAUAAUUUAUGAAGCUAGAGUAAAUAUCUAGCUGAAAGCAACUGGAGGGCAAGUCUGGUGCCAGCAGCCGCGGUAAUUCCAGCUCCAGGAGCGUCUGUGUGUAUUGCUGCGGUUAAAAAGUGCGUAGUCUGACAAAUGACUAGCAACAAAGGCUCAGUUUCUUGCUGUGCAUUAUGCUAGUAUGUAUGUCUUGGAACCGGGAUGAGACAAUGUUAUUUGGUGGCGAGGGGUGAAAACCAAUGACCCACUGAGGAGCAACAGAGGCGAAAGCAGUUGUCUAGAACGGGUUCGACGAUCAAGCACGUGAGCAGGAGGAUCAAAGGCGAU
rnacentral:rRNA from 1 species